rnacentral:lncRNA from 1 species
AUAAUUACAUACGGUUAUUACCUAGAAUUUGAAGGGCUUUCAUAAAAAUGAAGAACAUAUACAACUACAAAAUUAAAUACAAUAAGCUGAUGGAUUGUUCCCAAAAAAAUAGAUCCUUAUUCUUCAACUACAAAUUUGCAGCAACUACAUUAGAAAAGCAAUACUAUUUCUUCUUUCUAAGCAAUCUAGUCUUCUCAUUCAAAGCGUGAGCACCCUUCCUCGUUGCUAGGUUGCCUGUAACUUCACUUAUGUGGUAUAAAAUAAUGUCAAUUCUGCACAAAAUAAAAAUUAUUGACAUUAGCAUAAAAAUUAAGCAUUAAUCUACAUAAUACCUACAUAAUUCUAAAAAAAAAAAAGAAACAGUAAGAACUACAGAAUGACUACAAAAUAACAAUAUUUGUAAAAAUAUAGAAAAUAGCAACUACAAUUAAUCUACAAAAUUAAGACAACAAAUCGACAUGACUACAAAAUAACUAUAUUUAUAAGUUGUUCAUACUAGCAACUACAAUUUAUACAUAUAAUUAACACAACUAAUCUACAUGACUACAAAUAACUACAUGUAUAAACUGUAGAUAAUAUCACUAUAAUUAAUCUACAAAAUUAAGACUACUACACUAUAAUUUAACAACCAAUUAAAACAUAAGUUUUUACUCCUAAUAACUAACUAUAAUUAAUUUACAAAAUUAAGACUACUAAACUACAAUUUAACAGCCAAUUAAAACAUAAAUUUUUACUCCUAAUAACUAUAUUUAUAAGAUGUAGAUAAUAUCAACUACAAUUUAUACACAUAGUUAACAGCUAAUAAAACCACUAGCAAUUAAAAAAGAAUGGCAAAGAAGACAGAUGGUGAAUUAAAGACAAACUAAUAGAGUUCCACUGAAUAUCGGUUUUGCGCCUCAUAGGACUCAAAAUAUAUUUCCCAAUCUCAACUCCAAUUGCACUUGUACUUCUGGAAUUUCUUAUCAUUUUUCUUACCAAAAUACAACUAUUUUCAACUAUUUUCAUCAUUUUUCGUCAACUUCAAGUAUCACAUUCAACAACUUCAAUUUGAAAUCUGCUUGCAAUUAAAUGCGUAUAUCAUGGCUAUCAUGAAAUUAAGAGGACAGUGAAAACAAACACAAACAAGAAUUACAAGAUGAGGAGAAAAAGCAGUGCCAUGUUUGCAAACUGAAUUUGCUAUUUAAAGAGCAAUACCGUCUAAUUCCAUAUUGGUUACUACAAUUUCUUUCUUGAAUUGUAAUAAUCAAGACUCACUUUUACUUUUCCAUAACUAAAGCAUACCCACUAAACCAUGUUUGUACAAAAUUAAGACAACAAAUCGACAUGACUAAAAAAUAACUAUAUUUAUAAGUUGUACAUACUAGCAACUACAAUUUAUACAUAUAAUUAACACAACUAAUCUACAUGACUACAAAUAACUACAUGUAUAAACUGUAGAUAAUAUCACUAUAAUUAAUCUACAAAAUUAAGACUACUACACUAUAAUUUAACAACCAAUUAAAACAUAAGUUUUUACUCCUAAUAACUACAUUUAUAAGCUGUAGAUAAUAUCAAGUACAAUUUAUACACAUAAUAAACAUACCGAAUAAAACCACUAGCAGUUAUAAAAGGAUGGCAAAGAAGACGAAUUGUGAAUUGAAGACAAACUAAUAGAGUUCCACUGAAUAUCGGUUUUGCGCCUCAUAGGACUCAAAAAUAUAUUUCCCAGUCUCAACUUCAACUGCACAUGUACUUCUGGAAUUUCAUAUCACUUUUCUUACCAAGAUAUAGCUAUUUUCAUCACUUUUCGUCAACUUCAAGCAUCACAUUCAACAAUUUCAAUUUGAAAUCUGCUUGCAAUUAAAUACGUACAUCAUGGCUAUCGUGAAAUUAAGAGGACAUUGAAAAUAAACACAAACAGGAACUACAAGAUGAGGAGAAAGAGUAAUGACAUGUUUGCAAACUGAAUUUGAGAUUGAAAGAGCAAUGACGUGUAAUUCCAUAUUGGUUACUGCAAUUUCUUUCUUGAAUUGUAGUAAUCAAGACCCACUUUUGCUUUUAC